rnacentral:rRNA from 1 species
GACGAACGCUGGCGGCGUGCUUAACACAUGCAAGUCGAACGGAAAGGCCCUGCUUUUGUGGGGUGCUCGAGUGGCGAACGGGUGAGUAACACGUGAGUAACCUGCCCUUGACUUUGGGAUAACUUCAGGAAACUGGGGCUAAUACCGGAUAGGAGCUCCUGCUGCAUGGUGGGGGUUGGAAAGUUUCGGCGGUUGGGGAUGGACUCGCGGCUUAUCAGUUUGUUGGUGGGGUAGUGGCUUACCAAGGCUUUGACGGGUAGCCGGCCUGAGAGGGUGACCGGCCACAUUGGGACUGAGAUACGGCCCAGACUCCUACGGGAGGCAGCAGUGGGGAAUAUUGCACAAUGGGCGGAAGCCUGAUGCAGCAACGCCGCGUGCGGGAUGACGGCCUUCGGGUUGUAAACCGCUUUCGCCUGUGACGAAGCGUGAGUGACGGUAAUGGGUAAAGAAGCACCGGCUAACUACGUGCCAGCAGCCGCGGUGAUACGUAGGGUGCGAGCGUUGUCCGGAUUUAUUGGGCGUAAAGGGCUCGUAGGUGGUUGAUCGCGUCGGAAGUGUAAUCUUGGGGCUUAACCCUGAGCGUGCUUUCGAUACGGGUUGACUUGAGGAAGGUAGGGGAGAAUGGAAUUCCUGGUGGAGCGGUGGAAUGCGCAGAUAUCAGGAGGAACACCAGUGGCGAAGGCGGUUCUCUGGGCCUUUCCUGACGCUGAGGAGCGAAAGCGUGGGGAGCGAACAGGCUUAGAUACCCUGGUAGUCCACGCUGUAAACGGUGGGUACUAGGUGUGGGGUCCAUUCCACGGGUUCCGUGCCGUAGCUAACGCUUUAAGUACCCCGCCUGGGGAGUACGGCCGCAAGGCUAAAACUCAAAGGAAUUGACGGGGCCCCGCACAAGCGGCGGAGCAUGCGGAUUAAUUCGAUGCAACGCGUAGAACCUUACCUGGGUUUGACAUGGAUCGGGAGCGCUCAGAGAUGGGUGUGCCUCUUUUGGGGUCGGUUCACAGGUGGUGCAUGGCUGUCGUCAGCUCGUGUCGUGAGAUGUUGGGUUAAGUCCCGCAACGAGCGCAACCCUUGUUCACUGUUGCCAGCACGUUAUGGUGGGGACUCAGUGGAGACCGCCGGGGUCAACUCGGAGGAAGGUGGGGAUGACGUCAAGUCAUCAUGCCCCUUAUGUCCAGGGCUUCACGCAUGCUACAAUGGCUGGUACAGAGAGUGGCGAGCCUGUGAGGGUGAGCGAAUCUCGGAAAGCCGGUCUCAGUUCGGAUUGGGGUCUGCAACUCGACCUCAUGAAGUCGGAGUCGCUAGUAAUCGCAGAUCAGCAACGCUGCGGUGAAUACGUUCCUGGG